GUGCCAGCCGCCGCGGUAAUACAGAGGGAGCAAGCGUUGUUCGGAAUCACUGGGCGUAAAGGGCGUGUAGGCGGUUUGGUAAGUGGAAUGUGAAAUCCCUCGGCUUACCCGAGGACCUGCAUCCCAUACUGCCAAGCUUGAGUACGGGAGAGGAUGAGGGAAUUCCUGGUGUAGCGGCGAAAUGCGUAGAUAUCAGGAGGAACACCGGUGGCGAAAGCGCUCAUCUGGCCCGAUACUGACGCUGAUGCGCGAAAGCUAGGGGAGCAAACGGGAUUAGAUACCCCUGUAGUCC
rnacentral:rRNA from 1 species